CUUGGAUGGCUAAGAGAAGUCAGCUGGAUGCUCUCAUUAAUAUUAACCUCAUUGUGCAGACCUUAUGAGGACAGAAUAUUUCAAACUUGCAAUGGCAAGGCUGUGACUUUCAUACUCACAAUGAGAAGUGGGACCAACUUCACAAAGGCUGAAAUUUUUAGAUACAGGUGAGAAAAGAACCAAUUUAUUUCCACAAUUUUUUUUUUUCUGAGGCAGGCUUUCACUGUGGUGUAUGUAGCUCUGGCCAUUCUGGAGCUCCAUCAGGCAGGCUUCAAACUCAACAGAGAUCCCCUGGCUUAAGUACUGGGAAAGGCAUGAGUCACUAUCCCAGGCUUCUGAUAAAGACUGAGCAUAUUUGAAACUAGGACUUGCAUUUUCUAUUUCUGUUCAUUCUGUAUGAGACGCCCUCUCCUUGCUGAGUAAAGGUUGAAUAACCCAAAGGUAGCCUCUUUGGGUUCAGAUUUGCUCAACCAAAUGAGAAAGGUAAGAGAGGGGCUAGAGAGCCGGCUCAGCUGCUAAAAGCACACAUUGCAUUUACAGAGGAUGGGUUCGGUUCCCAACACAUCCUAUUACACGAUUCCAGUUUCAGAGGAUCCAGUUUCCCUCUUCUGAUCUCCAUAGGUACUGGGCACACAUUAGUACACAUUCACACAUACAGUCAGAUACUCAAACACAUUAAAAUAGACAAUCUUUAAAAAAGAAAAUACAAUGGGCUGGAGAGAUGGCUCAGUGGUUAAGAGCACUGACUGCUCUUCCAGAGGCCCUGAGUUCAAUUCCCAGCAACCACAUGGUAGCUCACAACCAUCUGUAAUGGGAUCUGAUGCCCUCUUCUGGUGUGUCUGAAGACAGCUACAGUGUACUCAUAUAUAUAUAAUAAAUAAGUCUUCAAAAAAAGAAACAAUGGCCUGUAAGUUCCAUGGCUACUUGACUACACACAAGAAAUCAUGAAUCUCUGAAUCUGUUACAUAACACAUAUUAUUAUAGUUACCUAUGUAAAUUAAUGCAAUCCAGCAGUAUAUUCUUAACACGUAGAUCCUGGAUUUUCCUCUUCGCUCCUGUUGGGAUUAGUUAAUACCGUCUUGUGGGUCUUGGGUUAUGUAUUGCAACCUCAUGGCUCAUAUUUAAGCUGGGAAUGGUUUGCGUCUGGCAAUGGGAAAUAAGGGAGGGUGCAUGUUUGACACUGAGGAGGACUCGGCUCUGUAGGGGGCUAAUGGCCAAUGGUCCUGGAAGAGACUACGGGAAGAUCUUCAGACACGCUGUUGACAAGCAUCCAACAGGAGAGGAAGAACUAUGACUUCUGCUAAAGACCCUUUGACAGGGCUGUGGUGUCGAGAGCCUCUAAUCCCAGCACUUGGGAGGCAGAGGUAGGUGGAUCUCUGAACUUGAGGCUGGCCUGUGAGUUCCAUGAUAUCCAGGGAUACACAGAGAAACCCUGUCUCAGAACAAAACAAAAGCAAGCAAACAAAAUAGGUAGUUUGAUAGAAUCUGGGGACUUAAGGUCUCCAGCUGCAUUGACAUUUUUUUUGCCAAAUUUGGGAACCCAUUUCCCAGCCAAUGCCCUGACUUUUACCAAAAGAGAUUUUGGAGUUUGUUUGGAUUGGACUUUUGGUUUGGUUUUUGGAAAUCUUAGCUCUGUCACUACAAAAACAAAAACAAAAACAAAAACAAAAACAAAAACAAAACAAAACAAAACCCGAGGUGGGGGAGGUGGUUUGAGGGACGAUCAUAGGUGAUUUCUGGUCCUUCAGCCAGGCCUAUCGAAAGCUCUGAGAGAAACAGCUGGUUUGCCCACUUGUAUGUAUGUUUAUGUGCGUUCUGUGACAGAGACUCAGUCCUAUUGUUUUCUUUAGACAUGCUGAGAGAUGUAAACAGGGACGUUGGAGGUACUUUUCCAUAUCCAUAUUAGUUACUUCUUUUCCUCAUCACUGUGGCCAAAUAUCUUACCAGGAAUAAGUUAAGGGAAUAAGCAUUCAUUUUGCCUCCUGACUUGAGAGUACUGCCCAUCAUGGUGGUGAAGGCACAGCAGCAGGCGGUCAAGGAAGCUGGUCCUUCCUGCUGGUCUGCAGCCUGGAAGGAGACAGAGAUGAAUGCUGUACCCCGCUCACCGCUUCUUUGCAUUCAGUUCAGAAUGGUGCCGGCCAUAUUCAGGGCGGGUCUCCCCUCUUCCGUUACAGCUCUCUGCAAACGCCCUCAAAGGCAUACCCAAAAAUGUUUCUCCGGAGAGACUCUAAAUUCAGUCAAGCUGACGUCGGAGGUUAACUGUCACCUCUCAUGCUCUGUGCUUUCUUCUCUAUUAGUGGAAAUUAGGUCAUUACUGCCUGUAAAAUCAAACCAGGGGGCUAAUUUCACAUAGCCUAGAAAUGGCUCAGACAGCACAUCUUCUGGAACUACUUCUGGUUCUGACUUCUAUAAAGGUCAAGGGUCCAACCGAGAAGCUGCAAGGGAUAUAGAAUAAAUAGGGAUUCACUUCAGGGAGCAGCUGUUGCCCGGUUGUGGGAGCUUCUGGAGGAGUCUAUGCAAGGUUGGUGCUUCUCCAUCCAUAUAGCUAUAGGUUACCUAGACCAGGAGGGGAAGGAAAGGUAGAUAUGAAACGGGGUCAACACAGACAGACAAUGAGAGCCCCGAGAACAAACUGGAACCUAUGUUUGACAUCUACCCUACUACCUGACACCCCAGGUCAGUGUAGCGACUGCGUGGACAUCCCCCUGGCUCAGAAUGCAUCAGUACUCACAGAUGAGCUCUGAGGAGAACUGGGGAAGCACCGAGGGUCAGUGACAACACGAACUGGCAUGCUGCCCCAACGUACUCUGGCCUGGGAGCAUACAGACUGGAUGUGAGGAUUUAUUUUGAACAUGGCAGACUGGAGGAUUCAGCAUAAUGAAAGCUCUCAGGAGCGAUGGGCUCACCACAGGUCCAGUGGACCAUAGUUGGGGAUAUGUGUGACCCAUGGCCAUUGGGACUCACCAAUUCCCAGCUUCCAGUCUUCCAACUCAUCUAUAUUAAACUCGCUGAAGCCCUACUUCUUCACGAUGUGGAUCUCCUGCUGCCGGAGAACUUGCACUCGCACUUGUCUUAAUGAUGGGCCUCAGUCUUGUGUGUGUGCGCAGGUCUGCAGCUUGGUGCUUAUGGACACGGUGACCUCACCAAUGUGAAAAUGACCACCAUGCUCUAGACCCUCCCAAGGGCACAGCACACAUCUCUGGAGCCUAGAUUGGAAAGAGCAGGAAAUAAAGGCAUAUGAGUAUCUACCAGAAA